GACGAACCGUGCGAACGUUAUUCGGAAUCACUGGGCUUAAAACGCGUGUAGGCGGAUGGGGACGUCGGUCGCUGAAAGCCCCCGGCUCAACCGGGGAACGGGCGCCGAAACGCCCCGUCUGGAGGGACGUAGGGGGACCUGGAACUUCCGGUGGAGCGGUGAAAUGCGUUGAGAUCGGAAGGAACGCCCGUGGCGAAAGCGAGGUCCUGGACGUCUUCUGACGCUGAGACGCGAAAGCUAGGGUAGCGAACGGG
rnacentral:rRNA from 1 species